rnacentral:lncRNA from 1 species
CAUGGAGGACAUUACGGUUGAUGGAUAUCACAUACCCAAGAAAUCAAGAGUCUUUAUCAAUAUUUGGACCAUUGGGAGGGAUCCAAGUGUAUGGUCAGAUAAUGUGGAAGAAUUCUACCCUGAAAAGUUUAUGAAUAAUAACGUUGACCUACGUGGACAUGACUUCCAGCUCAUACCAUUUGGGUCUGGUCGAAGAGGGUGCCCUGCUAUGCAAUUAGGGUUAACCACAGUUCGUCCUGUUCUGGGAAACUUGUUGCACUGCUUCAACUGGGAGCUCCCUAGUGGAAUGCUACCUAAAGACUUGGACAUGACUGAGAAAUUCGGCUUAUCGUUGUCGAAAGCCAAACACUUGCUUGCCAUGUCGACCUGUCGCCUGUACAAUGGAAGUUGAUGAUUGGUUUAUUACUUAAGCGUUGAUAGAUGUACUUAUUUCUAUUGGUCACACAUCAUUUAGUUUACAAUUUUAAUCUCUAAAUUUAGUUUCUGUAGCAUUACUCCCUUAAUAUAUAUAUAUAUAUAUAUAUAUAUAUAUAUAUAUAGUAUGUCUAGGCAUAAAUAAACAUUAAUUAACCGUAUAAUUUAGAUUAAUGCAAGUGUCUUGUAGCUCAAUUGAUUAAAAAUAUUAUUCCUUGCCCUUGAGGUCGCUUGUUCGAUUUUCCCUCCCGUAAAAAAUAAUUUGCUUGUCAUCAUGCCCACCUACGUACGUACCGCCUAAACGGUCAACCUUAGUAAGGGGUUGAAAUAAAUGUCUUGUAGUUAUAAUAGUGUUCCUUUGAGUAAUGUUAGAGAGACUAAAUUUGUAGACUAAUUUGCAAACUAAAUGAAAUGUCACAAAUAGGAAAUGAAUAUGUUUAUCAACGUUUAAAUGAUAAUCCAAUUAUCAACUUCCAUAUCAUUUAAUUUACAAAAUUUAAUCUGCCUAUCAUUACUCGUGUUCCUUUUGCCACCUCUGACUAGGAAAGAUUAAAAUAAUUACAUCGUUAAAGUGUUAACCAUAAUACGUUUUUCGUUCUCUUAAUUGAUCUUUAGAAUUAUCUUAUACGUUUUUCAUUCUCUUAAUUGAUGUACAAUUGGAGAUGGUUUAGAUUAAUAUUUCAAUAAUUGCGCCCUUUUUACUUACUUAUCUAAGUUUAUCACUUUAUGUGUGUUUCCCUAGUUUGUUUUGUCUUUUGGGUUUUGCACUUAGGUUUCAUUCAUUCGUUCAUUAUUUCUUUCAUUAUUUCUUUCUUUCCUUCUUCCCACCAUUCUUCUUUCUUUUUUCCCUUUAUAUUUUCUCCACAACUAAAACACAAAAUGUAGAAACUAAAAAUCAAAUAGUCAUCAGACGAGUGCUUAAAUUUUAUUCUCUUAAAAUAUACUUGUUCUCUGGAACUCUCUCAUGUAGCACCCAUCUCGCUAUUUUUUUCUUCUUAUAAUACCACGAUAUGUUGACACCAAAGGAUGAGACAAUAAAUCGGUAUCAAACUUGUCAUUCAUAAGAUUCGAACCUAAGACCUCUCACUUACAAGUGAAUGGUAGUAAAGGAGAAUAUUGUGGUAGCAAAAAUCUAUUGUUUUCGGCCUAGACGAAUUUUUACCUACAAAACAAAUAAACACCUGUGAUCAAAGACAAAGCCCCACACCCAAAGAGUGAGAGGUUUGGCCAAUGGAUCUUCAAUGCCUAAGUCAAUUUCUCUAAAAAGAGAGAGGUUUAGGGCUUAAUUGUGCAGCAAAAGUUUACUAAAAUUUGGUGGAGAAUGGGGUAUUUAUAGGAGCUAGGGUCGCCAUGGAGGAGAGAGAUCUCGCGCUAUGUAUCGUCAUCCAGUUGGCCAAGGUGUGUCAUCCGUUGGAUGGAGUAGGAAAGAAUUAUCCCAAUGAUAUUAUUGAAUAAAUAAUAUCUUAGAAUUAUCUUGUGGAUCCUUGAUUGGAUUUGAUGAAAAUUUCUUGCUUGAUUAUGUAUUGUAGUCAAAUCUCAUAUUUGCACUCGAAUAUAUCAAUGUUACGUAGGUGCAAUUAAGAUAUUUGCCCAAGUUUCAUAUAACCUAUCAGGCACAUGCUUUAACUAGCUUUGGCAAAAUUCUACGAAAAUUUACGAAACCACUAUUUUCAAAGAAUUUUUUUCCACACAACAAGCUUUUUAAAAUUCUUGCUAGACAAUGUAAAGAAGUCUGGAAACGAUAGUAAUGCCAAUUCCAAAGGGCAUUACGUUUUCCUUAUUACUGGCGUAAGGGUUGCAUUUUUCAUAAAAAUUAUUGCUCAUGCUUUUUAAUCGGUUUUUUAUAAACCAACAACAAUUCAUUUUAAAGACUAAGCCGAUCCGUUUACACAGGUAUAUGGUAAACUCCAUACAGUCGCCACACAGACAACGUUCCGUACGUUAUCUUGAAUAAUAGCCAUCGUCCCUUAGGUUAGGUGGAGACAAUCGCUCUGGUAAUGUCUCAUCCGCCAAAACACCAGAAAUUAACCGCAUGCAGUUUGGUUACUUUGGUAUUGCCAGCCAUUUGGUUCUUGUUCAUUUGUUCCUCCAUGUGAUGAACGUGAAAAGUUGAAAACACGGCAUAUAUGUACAACUAGAACAAGACAUGCAGUGUUACUUUCAACAGGUGGCACGUGCUUUGCUACCUCACACUAUCCUCAUUGAAUCCAUAUCCAUCCAUAUUCAAUCAACUCUUGUGCAUUAAGGAUCUUUACGCUUCUUCAAAAUUCUUUCUCUCAAUUUCAUGAAAAUUGCAGAGAGAUGGGCGUAGCUAUUAACAGAACUAUGAAUCUUUAAAGAACACUAUGAACAAGCAGAAAGAAAGAAAACGGAAGAACAAAGUAUAUCUAAUCUCUUAGUAAUGAAGUGUUUUUACAAAGCUUUUCUUACCGAAUGUGAAAAGAUCAAAUGGCUAUAUGUACUAACCAAUCACAAUCUACAAUUACAAUAUUAUCCUUUAACCUCCUUACUCAAUUACAAUCUUAUCCUCUUUAACAAACUCAAUUCCCAACUACCUUUGUAACUAACUUGACUUAUACCUCCUUGCCAGGUGUCAUUGGUUAAUACUCCCCCCUCAAACAUAGCUGGGGAAGUCCCAAGCUAUGGUUGUGAGUUGUUGUGAUCAUUGGAUGUAUGUGCACUUGAAAACUUCAACAUUGCUUGAUGGCUAUCCUGCACCCUGGAAUUGGAAGCUCCCAGUGUAAGAUUAAUACAAUGUUUGACAAAGAUCGGACUGUGAAGACCCUUAGUAAAUACAUCUGCAACCUGCUCUUCAGUUGGGAUAUAAUGCACAGUGAUAUCACCUUUCUGCACUUUCUCUCAAACAAAAUGAAAAUUGGUAUCUAAAUGUUUGAUCCGAGAAUGAAACACUGGAUUGGAGCACAGUGCUAAAGCAGAGAGAUUAUCACAAUGAAGUUUAGGUGGUAUUGGUAUAAACUGAUGCACAUUUUUUAGUAAUGACCUGAUCCAGUAGAUAUCAGCUACACAGUGAGCUAAAGCUUUGUAUUCAACUUCUGUUGAACUUCGAGAUACUGUAGCUUUUUUCUUUGACUGCCAUGAUACAAGAUUAGAUCCAAUAAACACAACAAAUCCAGUAAUAGAUCUCCUUGUAUUUAUAUCGGCUGCCCAAUUAGAAUCAAAAUAUGCAGCAAUUUGAAAAUCAGAUGUUUUGAUAUACUUCAAACCACAGUCUAAGGUUCCUUACAAAUAUCUCAUGAUUCGUUUCACCAGAUGCAUGUGCAAAUCUGUUAGAUGAGUCAUAUACUGACAAACAACAUUAACAGAAUGAGCAAUAUCUGGGCGAGUGAAGGUGAGGUACUGAAGGGCUCCCAUAAGACUUCGAUAAUGAGUAGGAUCAGCUAAACCAUUGCCUUCAUUCACAAGUAACUAAGAGUGAGGCUUAAAUGGUGUUGAUGUGGAUUUACAAUUCUCCAUCCCUGCUUUCUUGAGUAGCUCUUUGGCAUAUUUGGAUUGUGUUACCAUCAAUGAACCAUCAGAAUUAUAGUGAAUUUGCAAUUCCAAGAAAUAUGUUAAUCUGCCCAUAUCCUUUAAAUCAAACACUUCAGCAAGACUAGUGAUAACAAAUUGAAUCUUUUGGGAGGAUGAACCUGUGAGGAUAAUGUCAUCUAUAUAGAGAAGAAGUAGAAUAACAUCCCCAUCCCCAUCGUCAACAUUUACAAACAAACUAGAAUCGGAUAAUGCAGUUUUAAACCCAAGUGCACGAAGAAAGCUUGUAAAUUUUGAAUUCCAGGCCCUUGAUGCCUGUUUAAGACCAUACAAGGACUUAACUAACCGGCAAACAUGAUUUGGAUAUGUAGUAUCAAGAAACCCCUGUGGCUGCUUCAUAUAUACUUCUUCGUCAAGAUCACCAUGAAGGAAAGCAUUCUUGAUAUCCAAUUGUCUCAAGUUCCAAUUAAAUUGUACUGCCAAAGCAAGAAUUAUUUUGACUGUAGUAUGCCUGACCAUUGGACUGAAUGUCUCAGAAUAGUCCAAGCCCUUAUUUUGACUAAACCCUUGUGCCACUAAUCGUGCCUUAUACCUGGAUAUAGUGCCAUCUAAAUUUCGUUUGAUUUUAUAGACCCAUUUACUCCCAAUAACUUCUCUAUUGGAUGGAAGAGGAACUAGUCUCCAGGUCCCUUGAGCCUUUAAGGCAUCAAAUUCCUCCUGCAUAGCCUGCUGCCACUGAGUGACUUUUGAUGCAGCUCGAAAGUGUUUUGGUUCUUCACUCUCUCCAAUAUCAGCAAGGAAAGAGAAACCACAAUGAUCCAUUGUAGUAGCAGAGACUAAAGAAGGUCCAAUAUUAACAGAACUAUGAAUCUCUAAAGAACACUAUGAACAAGCAGAAAGAAAAAAAAAACGGAAGAACAAAGUAUAUCUAAUCUCUUAGUAAUGAACUGUUUUUACAAAGCUUUUCUUACCGAAUGUGAAAAGAUCAAAUGGCUAUAUGUACUAACCAAUCACAAUUUACAAUUACAAUAUUACCCUCUAACCUCCUUACUCAAUUACAAUCUCAUCCUCUUUAACAAACUCAAUUCCCAACUACCUUUGUAACUAACUUGACCUACACCUCCUUGCCAGGUGUCAUUGGUUAAUAGUAGCUGCAUGAGUACAAGUCGAAAUAUUAUUGUUUAUAUAAAACAAUUCAUAUAAAUUCGAUUUUUUUUUUUUUUGCGAUCAUUUGGUUAAAUUUCGUUUUGCAUGUAGUGGGGUAGAAUAGAAUUCUCUCCCCUCAUAAUCUCUCUUCUUUUUCCUCCUCUUCUAUUGGAACGGUUACGAUUAAGAAAAUUCUUGCUAAAAAAUGUAAAGGAGUUUGGAAACGAUACUAAUUAAGGUUUCCUUACUGGCUUUACAAAUUGCAUUUUUCACCAAAAUAGUUGCUCACGUUUUUUAAUCGAUUUUUCUAAAUAAAAAAAACAACAAUUCAUUUUAGAACUAAGCCGAUCUGUUUACACAUGUGUAUGUGUAAACUUCAUAUAGUCAGUGACAUACCCCGACCGAGAUCGAGGCAUGCUAGCCGUCAUGUGAGGGUGACGUAGCCACGUGCACAGUGCGGAAGCAAUAAAGAUAAGAAAUAUACGAAUAAAUAAAAACCGAAAGCUACUAAUGUGCACUAAUAAACAGGAAGUGCUAGGAGUGAGAUACAAGUGUAAAUACUCCUAAUCAGAGCAUAGAAAGUCUAGGUGCAGUCCAAUAGGACAAGUACUAGUUAUACAAUACCAGAAGAUGUCCUAUAAAUAUUUUAUUCUGUCAAAACUGCUAAGAUCCUCAAUGUCACCAACAACAAAUCUAACUAAAACCUAAAGGCGCACAAAACAGAAAAUAUGAGUGGGCACAAACAAAGAUUUUCAAAACCAUUUCAUUUAUCAAACGCUUUAACCACUCGCCGUAAAACAUGUAUAAUUUUUCCUAGAAAUAGAAUAUAAACAUAUGCAUAUAUAUAUAUAUAUAUAUAUAUAUCAAUUUAAAUGAUGCUUCACAUAACCAUAUUCAUAAGUAUGUCAUGCCAAAACAUAAAAUAGAAUAAGUAACUUAGGUGAGAAUAAAUUCAUGGAAAAUAACAUAUUAGCCGGAACCCCUGUAGAAGUUUGUACGGCUAAAUUCAUAGCUCAUUAGUCAAUCUAACCGGAGUCACUACAAUGACCUAUACGACACUACACUGCAUACAAGUCGGAACCACUAAAAUGGUCUGUACGACAAGACUGGGUGUAAUAUAAUUAUGCUCCAUACUACUCUCUCAUGAUAGCUGGGCGAUAAAUCGCUAGUCACCUACGAGUCGGAACCACCUAUGAUGGUCUAUAAGACAAGACUAUGCACCUAAAUUGGAUCCAAUGUGAGCAUAUGAUGCGGGAGGUGACAUUAUAAACAGGUUUGUGUCAUAUCUCUGGCUAAAUCACUAACACCGGGGUGUAGGUUUAUGAGCUCAAUAUUUCUCAAUUAAUCACAACCGUUAAUCACAUUCACAAUUCAUAAACUCACUCGGGCUUACCAGACCAUCCACAGCACCACAAUUAUAUAUAUAUAUAUAUGCAAACAUCAUAUGCAUAUUCUAAAUAUAAAACGUUUGGCAUAGAUCAAAUUAUAACUCAUUUAAAUGCAUUUUUUGGGAAAUAUCAAGCAUAUACAUAUAUACUUAAAACCAAAGCCCACUCACUGGUAUGUCGAAGGGUCGUAGCCCCCGAGUCACCCUUGACUGCGCUCGUCCUCGGGAUAAGUCUCCCCUAUAUGCAAAACAACUAUGAAAACGUUAAUUUAAAGCACAUAACCAAUACUAGCUAAUAAUUUCUCAUAAAUUGCUCUAAUGGGAUGUUUGAAUAUACCAACGCGAUCUACACAACCUCACGAACAUCCCCAUAGUUUUAAAAUAAUUUUUCAACAUCCCACGCGUCGGCAAGGGCACGACAACACGCGCAGCCAGGCGCAGGGACCCUAACGGAAUCCCUUAACCCCGUUAGGAAUAUUCCGUUAAAUAGUAACAGAAUCCGCUAAACUAACCAACGCUGUUAGGAAUAUUUGGUCAAAGUUGACGGAAUAUUCUAUCAUCUCCUACCUUCGAACUCCGGCAACCGUCGCCGUCGCCGUCGCAAAAAACUGGGAAAAUCUUAUAAUCCUUAUAUGUCUGUCGUUUCUUAACCAAAACUUAUGAAAUUGGUCUCAAUUUAAAGCUUAUAACUAGAAGAACACAUCCUUACCAAUUUCAAGGCUUGAAAUCCACGAAAGCUCGCCGGAGAGAGCUCGAUAAUUCCGGCCAAAUUUCAAACUCUCCAAACUCAACUUCCUGACGUCCAAUUUGCUUGAUUUUUCUUCUCUGAGCUUAGUACGAACGUCCUAAAGCUUCCUAUAAGCUUAAAAUCACCUGAAAUAUCCAUAAUUACGACCACAUGAACAGUACUCAAAUCGGGGGUGAUGGUUCCUCGGGUUUUUGAAGGUUUCACGAUUUACAAAUGGCAUAUAUGAACUCAGGGACUUGCAAGGAGUUCAAAUCUUACCUUCUUGACGUCGAUCCAUGCGUAAAAUGUGAGUUUGGAGUUCAUCCAUACAUUUUGUACGAAAAUGGUAUGAAGGCCGAGAGAAGGAGAGAACGCACGAGGUGUUUUUUGUGUGUGUGUGUGUGUGUGUCCUCACUUGGUCACCCAACAAAACAACACCUAAGUUUAAUUUUUUACUUGAGUCCAAAACUUAGGAACUCAACAUAGUAGUCUACAUUCCAAAAGCAUGUCACACACGUCACAAUCUUGACAUCCAAGGGUAAAAUCAUCAUUUCACACCGUCAAAACUAAAUGUUUCGGGACGGGCUGUGACAAUCUAAAUUGUCACAUCCUGGCCCGGUCCCCCACCAUAUCCCGGGCUCAACUCUGCCGUAGCACGAUAUUGUCCACUUUGGGCCCCGACCACGCCCUCACGGUUUUGUUUCUAGGAACUCACAUGAGAACUUCCCAGUGGGUCACCCAUCCUGAGAUUGCUCUCGUGCGAACUCACUUAACUUCAGAGUUCCAAUGGAACUUGAAGCCAGUGAGCUCCCAAAAGGCCUCUUGCUAGGUAGAGAUGGGAAUAUACAUAUAAGAUUUAGAUGAUCCACUCUCCUGGGCGAUGUGGGAUGUUACAGUCAGCACACAAACAAUGCUUCAUACGUUAUCUUGAACUAGCAUCUUGUCGUACGCGUAUGCAUGUUACAAAAUAUAUUAAGAAAUUCAAUUUUUUAUUUAUUUAUAUAUUUUUGAAAAUAAAUUAGAAGUUAAACAUAAACCAUCCACUAACAUGGGGUUUUGUUAUUUUUUUCUUUCUAAGUUUAAAAUUUUAAAUUCGUUCAAAAUUAAUAUUUGUUGAAUUAUUUUAACUCCUUUUAAUUCAAUAGUAAUUUAAAAAAAAAAUUGGAGGCAAUUUAUGGUAUUUUGAAAUUAACCUGCAUGCAUGCAGUUUGACUACUUUGGCCUCCCAGCCAGUCGGUUCUUGUCCAUUUUUUCCACCCUGUUAUGAAAGUGAAAUAUACCUAUAGCUAUAAUGUACUACGAGAACAUGAGACAUGCAGUGUUACUUUCAACAGGUGGUACGCCUUGCUACCUCACACUUAUCCUCCUUGAAUCCAUAUCUACACAUUCAAUCAACUCUUGUGCAUUACGUACGUCGCUAUGCUUCUUCAAAAGUCUCUCAAUUUCAUAAAAAUUGCAGAGCUGGGUGUAGCUACAUAAGCUGCAAAAGCACAAAUCGAAGUAUUAUUGCUUAUAUAAAAGAAUUCAUAUAACUUUGCUUUCUUCUUUUUUUUUUCUUUUUUUUUUUUAGACCAUACGGUUAAAUUUCAUUUUGCAUGUCUUAGGGUAAAGGGAGUUAUGAUUUUCUCUCCUUCUAAUCUCUCUCCCCUUUCUUCCCAUCUUAUUUGAAUAGUUACGAUUAAGUCAUAUCAACAUCUUAUAUUGAUUUCUUUAUAGAGAGAGAAAGACAAAGAUGAAAGUGUGAGAAGAGGGGAGGAAAAUGGGGAGGAUUAGGGGGGAAAGAAUUGUAGUCCAGGGUAAAGAACUCAUUCACAUGCAAGAUUUGAGUCCAUUAUCAAUCAGCCGUUGGAUCUUGAACUCUCUAUAAGUAUGAAACAAAAUGAGUCCAUCUAUCUCACCCAAAAAUCAAUAAAAAAAGAUUCCAUCAGAAAUAGCCAUCCUAAUCCUUGUAUUUCCUUGCCUUCCUGUGGUCUCUCCUCUGCAUCCUAAUCAAUGUCUUCUCAAGGAAAAGCAAAAAACUACCUCCUGGCCCUAGGGCACUACCAAUCAUUGGCAAUCUUCAUAUGCUAGGCGACCUCCCACACUGCAGCCUCCAAAACCUAGCAAAAAAAUAUGGACCUAUACUGUCGAUGCGUCUAGGGUUCAUACCAACCAUAGUGGUCUCAUCUCCCCAAGCAGCAGAGCUAUUCCUCAAAACCCACGACACCAUUUUUGCUAGCCGCCCCAACAUUGGUGUUAUGUGCCUUUCCUUAGUCCACUUGAUCUUCAGGUAUGUUACCCUUCAUUGUUAAUUACCAAACUUUACCCUUCAUUGUUAAUUACCAAACUUGUUACAUGAAAAAAGUAUCUAGGAGACCGGCCAAUGUCCACUUCUAACAAUACUAAUAUUGUCUUUAACUUGUUGAUUACUACAUGCUCAGUCCGACAAGUAUGAAGGUUUAUUAUAAAAGACUUCAGUAUUAGUUGAAAGAGUUAAAAUAUUUGAACUUUUUUUUUCUUUGUCUCUGUCCAAUGUCAGAUAGUUAAACAUACCCUCUUACGUAAGACCCAUUUAGUGGGUCAUACGUGAGAAAUCCACACAUCGGCAACCAUGUGGAGCCAAAUUAUAACCUCUCUAAAUAAUUAUUAAAAAAAUAAAUAAUUUAAUCAUAACAUUUGUAAAAUUUACUAUCGUUUCCAAACUUCUUUACAUUGUCUGGCAAGAAUUUUAACAAGCUUGUGGUGUGGAAAAAAAUUCUUUGAAAAUAGUGCUUUGUAUAAUUUUCUUAGAAUUUUGUCAAAACUAAUUAAAGCCUGUGUGUAACACUUUAGAUGAAACUUGGGUAAAUAUCUUAUGUUGCACCUGCGUAAAAUUGAUAUAUUUGAGUGAAUCACGUGGAAAAGUUGAAAACGCAGCAUGUAAGUACAACUAGAACAAGACAUGUUACUUUCAAAAGAUGGCACACGUAUCCUCAUGUUGUCCAUAUCCAUCCAUAUUCAAUGAACUCUUGUGCAUUCCGCCCCCACCCACCCACCACCCCCCACCCCAAAACCAAGAAAAGUGAAUCACGUGGAAAAGUUGAAAACACAGCAUGUAUGUACAACUAGAACAAGACAUGUUACCUUCAAAAGAUGGCACACGUAUCCUCAUGUUGUCCAUAUCCAUCCAUAUUCAAUCAACUCUUGUGCAUUCUUCUUCAAAAUUCUCUCUCAAUUUCAUGAAAAUUACAGAAGUAGGCGUAGGGUAAAGGGAGUAAAAUUGUAUCCCCUCUUUAUCUCUCUUCCUUUUUCUUCUCUCCAAUUUGAACGGUUUACAAUUAAACCAUGUCAACAUCUUUUAUUGACUUCUUUAUAGAUAGAGAAAGACAAAGAAAAAAGUGUGAGAGAAGGAAAGAAAAAGGGGAAGGAAUUAGGAGUGGAGACAAUCCUAAUGGAGGUUAAAGAACUCAUUUGCCACAUGCUAGCAUUUGGUAAUAUAUCAAUUAGUUGUUAGAUCUUGAACUCUCUAUAAGUAUCAAACAAAAUGAGUCUACAUGUAUAUAUAUGUGUGUGUGUCUAAUGUCCCAUUUAUCGAUCUCACCCAGAAAUCAUAUAAAAUGAGUCCUUCAGAAAUAGCCAUCCUCAUCCUUGUAUUCCUCACAUUCCUAUGGUCUCUCCUCCACCUAAUCAAUGCCUCCUCAAGGCAAAGCCGAAAACUGCCACCUGGCCCUACACCACUGCCAAUCAUUGGCAAUCUUCAUAUGCUAGGCGACCUCCCACACCGUAGCCUCCAAAACCUGGCAAAAAAAUAUGGACCUAUAAUGUCCAUGCGUCUAGGGUUCAUACCAACCAUAGUGGUCUCAUCUCCCAAAGCAGCAAAGCUAUUCCUCAAAACGCAUGACACCAUUUUCGCUAGCCGCCCCAAACUCCAAGCCUUCGAGUACAUGGCUUACGGCUCGAAGGUCAUGGCCUUUAUUGAAUAUGGGCCAUACUGGCGCCAUAUUCGGAAACUUUGCACACUUCAACUUCUUUGUCCCUCGAAAAUUGAGGGUUUUGCUCCGCUAAGAAGGGAGGAGGUAGGGUUGUUAGUGCAGUCCCUGAAGGUAGCUGCGGAGGGGGGCGAGGUGGUGGAUUUUAGUGAGAAGGUUGGUGAGCUUGUUGAGGGAAUCACGUAUAGGAUGGUGUUGGGGAGAAAAAAUGAUGAUAUGUUUGAUCUCAAGGGGAUUAUUGAGGAAGCCCUAUUCUUGACAGGAGCUUUCAACAUUAGUGAUUAUGUGCCUUUCCUUAGUCCACUUGAUCUUCAGGUAUGUUACCCUUCAUUCUUAACUACCAAACUUGUUAGAUGAAUCAAUAAUAAAACUAGGGAAAUGCUUGGACCACUGUAAAGUAGGGACAUUUAGAUUGCACGCACGCUAUUGCUAAGCACAAAUACAAAGUAGAGGCGUUGCAAAUAAGUGCAUGCACGUAUGCGCGACUGAUCUUAGCACUACUCCUCUAAAAAUAUUUGAACUCUAUUAUUUAGAUGACGUAUUUCGAUGGAUCCAUCAACAGGAGCAAAAGCAGUGUUAGCAAAUAAAGUGAACGAGAUUAACUCGUAGUUUUAGGAAACUGAGCUCGUUUGGAUGUAGUUUUAAAAUGACUAAAAGUGUUUUUGGUAAAAUUAUUUUUAGAAACAAUCCUUCAUAAAAACGCUAACAGAUCUUGGAAAAGCAUUUAAAGUGCUUUCUGGAAGAAGCAAGUAUAACUAGUGCUUCUUGUAGAAAGCACUUCAAAUAUUGCUUUUGGAAUCCAAAAACAAUUUUUCUAUAAGCGCUUUCAAUCAUUUUAAUAGCAUAUCCAAACUCAGCCAAUAACUAGUCCGCAUUCGUACAAAUUAAUCUGAGAGGAAUAUCUGUUUACCUUAGCCAGCUAACUUAUCGUCUUUUUGCUGGUGAUAUGAUUCACAAAGUCUAAGCAUCCACAAAUUAUAAAUGCAAUACCAUAUGAUUCAUAUCGUAUGGUCCAUUCCAUAGCCUGCUGACGAUAAACUAUCUUCUAAUUCGAGAUGUAGAAACAUAUUUACAUCUUAUUUUAUAGUUUCAAGAGGUGUAGAUGGAAGUUCUAUGCUAAUGAGAGUGAUGUAAAUUUGAGCUUUUAUUUAAUUUUCUCUCUUAGAGUAGCGGAGUCCACCAUAAAAAAAAUAUACAUCCAUAUAUAUAAGUUCUUAUUUAUAUUUUCCAAAUCAAUAUUUUACAUCUUUCUGACCAACUUAAAGUAUUAAAUACAAAUUGCUCCCUAUCUUAUGCAUUUGGUUGCCAAUGCCAUCCGGGAUAUUAUUACAAUAGCAAUGGAUUUAAUGCACAAUUCAUUAUUUUAGGAACCUUAAUUUCUGCAAUCAACUAUACAAAUUUAAAAUAUAUUCAACAGGCUCUUUUAAGGGAAGAUCUCCAUUUAAAAAAUAAAUAAAAAAUAAAAAUUAGUUGUAGGGCUCAUCCCACAUCAAACUUCAAUAAUAAGAAUUGUCUAUAUUUUAUCUCUAUUCAUAGGUCAUUCUUGCAAAAAAACAAUUCAAUCCGAAAUCAUUUGGUCAUUUGAUUGUCACGAUGAAAUUUUAAAGUUUCUUAUAACAUAAUGUUCGUCAAUGUCUUGGAGCUCAAUUAGAUUAAUUGAUGCCUCAAACAUUUUUUAUUUGGCUAAUUUUGCAAGAAUGAUUUAAGAGGUACAACUUGAAUUGAAAAUAGACAAUUCGGAUAUCAUUGAAGUUCAAUGUCGUAUAAGACUGCACAAGUAAUCUAAAAAAUGAGAAUCCCUUCCCUUAAAACCAUAUGUUACAUGUAUGUUUUUUUUUUCUUCUUAUCCUUCAUAAAGGAUGUAAUACUAGUAAUAAGGAUUUUAUUUUACCAUUGAAAAUGAGGAUUUUACAAAAAUUCAAAAGAUAAAAUGCUAGUAAAUAUGUAGAUAUAGAUUUUGAGGCCUUACGUAGUUGGGUAAAAUUGAGUUUAAUUCCAAUUUUAUAAGAAUCAAACUCCUAGGGUGGAAAAUUUGCAUUUUACAUGAGUGACUCCGAUUAUUGAGUUUAAUAAUUACCAAUGACUUUAAUUCCAAUAAAUGAUCAACCAUUUGACAGAGAAAAAUAGAGAUUAAUACAUAAAAUAAGGAAAACAAAAGUCCAAUAAUAUUAUAGGAAUCAAACUCAACGUACAUGAUUAUAUGUGGGAAUGAAACUAAACAAAACUAACGUUUCUCUCUGUAAUUGUUCUUUCAUCUCAGAAAAAAGGGUUGCACAUGAUCCCUUAUACCCAUGUGAGUGUGUCACCGUAUAUGCCUAUCCUCACCCAAAAGUUACUCCAAAAAUACAAGAUGUAAUAGCUUUUAUAUAUGCAUGCAUGUCUUGUCCAUUUCAUUGUCUAAUAAAAAUGAUAGCUACAGUACUCAACUAGAAGUACAUAUGAUUGAUUGAUUGUAUGGAAUAUUAACUAUUUCUUCCACUUAGGGAUUGACCAAGCGCAUGAAGAGAGUUAGCAAAAUUGUCGACCAACUACUCGAAAAGAUAAUUCAGGAUCAUGAACAAGUUUCCAGAAGUGAGGUACAAGGCAAUCAUCAUAAGGACUUUGUAGACGUGCUACUUUCAUCAAUCCACCAACCAUUAAACCCCAACAAUGAGGAAGUCUACAUGCUCGAGCGAACAAAUGUCAAAGCCAUUUUACUCGACAUGAUUGUGGGUGCCCUUGACACCUCAACCACGGCAAUUGUCUGGACCCUGGCCGAACUCUUGAGGCACCCGAAAGUAAUGAAACGUCUCCAAGAAGAGCUCAAGAGUGUGAUCAGGAUGGAUCGAAUGGUGGAAGAAAGUGAUUUGCCAAAGCUGGAUUACUUGAGCACGGUUGUCAAGGAUAGCUUAAGGCUACACCCAAUUGCCCCAUUACUAGUCCCUCAUCAAUCCAUGGAGGACAUUACAGUUGAUGGAUAUCACAUACCUAAGAAAUCAAGAGUUUUUAUCAAUAUUUGGACCAUUGGGAGGGAUCCAAGUGUAUGGUCAGAUAAUGUGGAAGAAUUUUACAAUGAAAGGUUUAUGAAUAAUAACGUUGACCUACGUGGACAUGACUUCCAGCUCAUACCAUUUGGGUCUGGUCGAAGAGGGUGCCCUGCUAUGCAAUUAGGGUUAACCACAGUUCGUCUUGUUCUGGGAAACUUGUUGCACUGCUUCAACUGGGAGCUCCCUAGUGGAAUGCUACCUAAAGACUUGGACAUGACUGAGAAAUUUGGCUUAUCGUUGUCGAAAGCCAAACACUUGCUUGCCAUGCCGACGUGCCGUUUGUACAAUGGAAGUUGAUGAUUGGUUUAUUAGUUAAGCUUUGAUAGAUGUGCCCAUUUCUAUUGGUGACACAUCAUUUAAUUUACAAUUUUAGUCUCUUUAGCAUUACUCCCUUAAUAUAUAUAACAUUAAUUAACCAUAUAAUUUGGAUUAAUGCAAGUGUCUUGUAGCUCAGUUGAUUAAGAAUAAUAUUCCUUGCACUUGAGGUCACUUGUAUAUAUAUAGUAUGUCUAGGCAUAAAUAAACAUUAAUUAACCGUAUAAUUUGGAUUAAUGCAAGUGUCUUGUAGCUCAGUUGAUUAAGAAUAAUAUUCCUUGCACUUGAGGUCACUUGUAUAUAUAUAUAUAGUAUGUCUAGGCAUAAAUAAACAUUAAUUAACCAUAUAAUUUGAAUUAAUGCAAGUGUCUUGUAGCUCAGUUGAUUAAGAAUAAUAUUCCUUGCACUUGAGGUCACUUGUUCGAUUUUCUCUCCCGUACAAAAUAAUUUGCUCGUGAUCAUGCCCACCUACAUACGUACCGCCUACACAGUCAACCUUCAUAAAGGGUUGAAAUAAAUGUCUUGUAGUUAUAAUAGUGUUCCUUUGAGUAAUACUAGAGAGACUAAAUUUCUAGACUAAUUUGCAAACUAAAUGAAAUGUCACAAAUAGGAAAUGAAUACGUUUAUCAACGUUUAAAUGAUAAUCCAAUUAUUAACUUUCAUGUCAUUUAAUUUAUAAAAUUUAAUCUGCCUAGCAUUACUCGUGUUCCUUUUAUGCCACCCCUGACUAGGAAAGAUUAAAGUAAUUACAUCGUAAAAGUGUUAACCAUAAUACGUUUUUCGUUCUCUUAAUUGAUCUUUAAAAUUAUCUUAUACGUUUUUCAUUCUCUUAAUUGAUGUUUAAAGUUAUCUUACAAAAAGCUAAUACAAUUGGAGAUGGUUUAGAUUAAUAUUUCAAUAAUUGCGCCCUUUUUACUUACUUAUCUAAGUUUAUCACUUUAUGUGUGUUUCCCUAGUUUGUUUUGUCUUUUGGGUUUUGCACUUAGGUUUCAUUCAUUCGUUCAUUAUUUCUUUCAUUAUUUCUUUCUUUCCUUCUUCCCACCAUUCUUCUUUCUUUUUCCCCUUUAUAUUUUCUCCACAACUAAAACACAAAAUGUAGAAACUAAAAAUCAAAUAGUCAUUAGACGAAUGCUUAAAUUUUAUUCUCUUAAAAUAUACUUUUUCUCUGGAACUCUCUCAUGUAGCACCCAUCUCGCUAUUUUUUUCUUCUUAUAAUACAAUGAUAUGUUUACACCAAAGGAUGAGACAAUAAAUCGGUAUCAAACUUGUCAUUCAUAAGAUUCGAACCUAAAACCUCUCACUUACAAGUGAUGGGUAGUAAAGGAGAAUAUUGUGGUAGCAAAAAUCUAUCGUUUUCGGCCUAGACGAAUUUUUACCUACAAAACAAAUAAACACAUUUGAUCAAAGACAAAGCCACGCGCCCAAAGAUUGAGGGUGGGAGGUGUUUGGCCAAUGGAUCUUCAAUGCCUAAGUCAGUUUCUCUAAAAGGAGAGAGGUUUAGGGCUUAAUUGCGUAUCAAAGGGCUACUAACUUUGGUGGAGAAUGGGGUAUUUAUAGGAGCUAGGGUCACUGUGGAGGAGAGAGAUCUCGCGCUAUGUAUCGUCAUCCAGUUGGCCAAGGUGUGUCAUCCGUUGGAUGAAGUAGGAAAGAAUUAUCCCAAUGAUCCACUACUACAAUAUAGGCUAUCACCGGCGGAACAAAAACCGACAAGAAACCCGAUUUCUGUCGAAAAUUUGGCAAAAAUCCGACAUAAAACAGUGCAAUGUCGGAGUGGAAUAGCGACACCAUUGCUACCGUCAUAAAAGGGCUUCAGUGUCGGUUUGAUAGCUUAAUCCGCCACUAAGCAACAUCGGUUUAAAGCGACACUGACAGCAACGUCGGUUUAAAGCGACGCACACUCAAACCUUACAUCGGUUUAAAGCGACGUUAUAUAAUGUUAGAGUAAAUGUAGAAUUAUGGAGAAUAAUCCGAAUAAUGACUUUGAGGUACGACUUGAAUCGUUUCCUUAAAGUGUUAUUUGCCCCCACUCGAAUGAGUUUGCUAAAGGGUUCUUGGCAAAUCACUUCCAGGAUACAACAAAGUAUGGAAUAUUCAAUUAGCAAAACCGAAUUAUAUUCCCUUAGAAAUAACUAAAAAGAAAUUGUAUGAAUGUGAUGUUGAGAGAAAAGAGAACAAAGAAAUUAUGUAGAUAACUAAAUUCUGAAUAAUUGUGUAUGAAACAUUAUACCACAACAUGUAUUUAUAGACAUCAAAGUACCCGUUCAUCGAGCCAUUUCAUUUUAGUUGAAGACACACAACUCUUCUUAAUAGUGUUGACCCAAAAGACAUGUGUUCUAUUUAGAAUUUUCAGAAAAUAAAUAUUGACUAAUUAUAUCCUUUAAUUCUACUCAUACAAUUUGAGUAAACAUCAUAUCUUUUAACCAAAAGUUGUAAUUCAACCAAAAGGUACAAGGUUGAAUUAAAUCCAACCUUUCAAUACAUGUUGCCGCAUGCAUGUUGCGGAUGGCAGCAGCACUAGGUCAUAUAUAUUUAUAUAUUCAUAAAUAUUAUAUAUUAAUAUAUAUAUAUAUAUAUAUUAAUAAUAAUAAUUAUUAUUAUUAUUGAAAUCUCUAACAAUCCUUCCCAAUUUCAAUAAUAUGGUAAAUGAUAUUACAAUAAUUCUCUCUUUAUAAUUAUCACAAGCAUACCGAUAUAAUCAUGCAUACAAUAAAGGUGUCUUUCGAAUUAAACCUUUAAUUAGUGUAAGUAACUCAAAGUUAUAACGAAUGCAAUGGUGACUUAAGUUUAAACCAACUAUUCUUAUGUUAAAACCGGAAUCACCACACACAUGAUUAUGUCUUAUUUCCUUAAAGAAAUUACUGAACUAAUUAAGCACUAUUUAUGGCUUUGUGCUUCAUCCUGGUUUCAUAAACAUUUACAAGAGAAAACCCAACUCUUGGCAGAAGCGGCACCACUUCUUAUGUUUAUAUAGGUGAGGUUCCUUCCCAUGUCCCUACUACUAUAGACAUAACUACAAAUAACCUCAUUAAGAGUUAAAACUAUCCUCCUAAACGUAGCAGUCUUGCACUGAUCAUCCUGGAAUGAGCUAUAUAAUAAUUUUCAGUGCUUACACAACCACUUAACAAUAACUUGUUAUUACCCAUUAAACUUUUAAACUAGUGAUGUUCUAGACAAAGUCGGGUUACCAUUAUUGGUGGCUAAUUUUCAGUAAAGGGUUUUAGCCCCAUUCCACUAGAUGUACUAACUACCAAAGCUCUUGAAAGUGAUUUCGUUAACGGAUCCGCCAAGUUAUUACUUGAUUUAACAUAAACAAUAUUAAUAACUCCAUCAGUUAUUAAUUGCUUGACAUAUUCAUGUCUCAAGCUAAUAUGUCUAGACUUUCCAUUGUAUACCUUAUUGUAUGCUCUAGACAAAAUAGCUUCACUAUCACAGUAUAAAGAAAUGGAUGGCAUUGGUUGUGGCCACAACUCUAUUUCCAAUAACAAAUUUCUAAUCCAUUCCGCUUCUUUACCUGCUGCUGCUAAUGCUAUAAAUUCAGAUUCCAUAGUUGAAUGUGCUAUACAUGUUUGCUUCUUCGAAGCCCAAGAAAUUGCUCCUCCGGCAAUUGUAAAAAUCCACCCUGAUGUAGACUUAUUAUCAUUAGCACUUGUUAUCCAACUUGCAUCUGAAUAUCCUUCAAGUACUGCUGGAAACUCAGAGUAAGUUAAACUCAGGUUAAUAGUUCUUUUAAGAUAACCAAAAAUUCUAUUUAUUGCUUUCCAAUGAGCAGUACCUGGAUGACUAGUGUAUCUAGAAAGUUUGCUUACUGCAAAUGCGAUAUCUGGCCUGGUACAAUGCAUGGCAUACAUUAAACUUCCGAUUACACUAGCAUACUCAAGCUGUGCAACAGACCUACCAGAAUUAUUAAGCAAAGUUUCACUAUGGUCAUAAGGGGUAUUUGCUUCUUUAUUUGUAGAUGCUUAAACUUAAGAAGCAAUUUUUCUAUAUAAUGUGACUGACACAAAGCGUAACCCCUACUAUGCUUCUUUACUUUAAUUCCCAAGAUAGUAUCUACUUCAUUCAAAUCCUUCAUCUUGAAUUUUGAAUUUAGAUACUCUUUAGUUUCAGAUACACCUUUCAUGUUUGUACCAAAAAUUAGCAAGUCGUCGACAUAUAAACAUAUAACAACACCAUAAUCAUUUGUGAAUUUAGAGUAUAUGCAUUUAUCAGCACUGUUAUGUCUAAAUCCAUAUGAUAAAAUGACAAAAUCAAACUUUUCAUGCCAUUGUUUUGGUGCUUGCUUCAAUCCAUAUAAUGACUUUACUAAUUUACAAACCUUCUUUUCAUUCCCAGGGAGAACAAACCCUUCUGGUUGUUCCAUAUAGACUUCUUCAUCUAAAUCACCAUUUAAAAAUGCUGUUUUCACAUCCAUUUGAUGCACAUGCAAAUUAUAUAAAGAUGCCAAUACAAACAAUAUUCUAAUUGUGAGCCUAGCUACUGGUGCAUAUGUAUCGAAAUAGUCAAUUCCUUUUUUCUGCUUAAAACCUUUGGCAACUAGCCUGGCUUUAAAUGUUUGAAUAGACCCGUUUGUAUUGUAUUUUCUUCUAAAUACCCACUUACAACCUAUUGCUUUUGAUCCUUGGGGCAAGUCUACUAAAACACAUGUCUGAUUAGAUAGUAAUGAUUCAAAUUUAUCAUUUAUAGCCUCUUUCCAAAAGGCUGCAUCUCUUGAAGUCAAUGCUUCGCUUAGACUUUUAGGAUCAUCCUCAACAUUCAACAAUAUGGGUAUAUUCUUAAGAACCUUUGUUCUAUUUCCUUCGACUAAAAAUACAAUAGAUUGAGAUGAAAUAAAAUCAAAGCCUAGAGUCUUUUCUUUUCUUACCCUUUGGCUUUUCCUUGGUUCAUUAACAGUUUCAGACUGUUUUCUUUUCUCACCUUGAGAUUGACUAGUAGACGGAUUAGAGAAAUGUGUUUGAUCAUUCUCUUUUUCAGACACUGAGUAGUCAUUAUAGAAUUUAUUUUCUAUAAAUUCGACAUUUCUAGACUCAACUAUUGUGUUCGAGUCUAAAUUAAGCAACCUAUAUGCCUUUGAAUUUUCUGCAUAUCCUACAAAUAUGCUUUUAAUUCCUCUUGGACCCAACUUGGAUCUCUUAGGAUCGAGUGCCUUAUAAAAAGCUACACAACCCCAUACUCUCAAAUAUGACAAAUUUGGUUUUCUUCCUUUCCAAAUUUCAUAUGGUGACACAUGUGUCUUCAUAGAUGUAAUUCUAUUGUGUAUAUGGCAUGCAGUAAACAAUGCUUCACCCCAUAAAUAUUUUGGAGUAUUAGCAUUAAUCAUCAUAGAAUUAAUCAUUUCAGUGAGUGUUCUAUUUUUUCUUUCUGCCAAACCAUUUUGUUGUGGUGUAUAGGGUGCAGUUCUUUGAUGUACAACACCAUGCUCUUCACAAAAAAUAUCAAAUUCAUGUGAAAAAUAUUCACCACCUCUAUCACUACGAAGGCAUUUAAUUUUCCUUCCCUUUUGGUUUUCAACUUCAGCCUUAUAGCGCUUAAAGCACUCAAAAGCUUCAUCUUUAUUAGACAAUAAAUAAACAUAAGUAAAUUUAGAACAAUCAUCUAUAAAUGUGAUAAAAUAUCUUUUUCCUCCUCUUGUUAAAACACCAUUAAAUUCACAUAUGUCAGAAUGUAUUAAGUCUAAUAAAUUUGUAUUUCUUUCGGUAGUUGGAAAAGGUUUUUUAGUCAUUUUCGCUUGAAUACAUGUUUCACAUUUAUUAUUAUAAUCAUCAUUGCAAGUAAUAAAACCAAGUGUGCACAUGUAUUUUAAAGAUCUAAAAUUUAUAUGUGCUAAACGUAAAUGCCAUAAAUGAGAGGAAGAUUCAACAAUAUAAACAGAAGAAUUCACUUUAUUAUUGAUACUUAGUUUGAACAUCCCAUCACAAGAAUAUCCCUUCCCAACAAACAUCCCAUUUUUCGACAUUAUUAACUUGUCGGACUCUAGAACAGUCUUUACCGUUCUUACAUAAUAAAUUUGUAGACACAAGAUUCUUUCUAAUUUCUGGAACAUGCAGUACAUUAAGCAACGUCAAUUUCUUCCCAGAAGUAAAUUGAAGUUCAACGGUUCCUUUUCCUAGAACUUUGGCGGAAUUAUGAUUCCCCAUUAAAACUUCUUGAUUUUCCGUUGAUGCUUCAUAUGUCUUGAAUUGUGCCUUGUCAUUGCACACAUGUAUAGUAGCCCAUGAGUCGAGCCACCAAUCGGAGGAUUUUAUUACCGCUGCCAUAUUCAGUUCGGUAAUCAUGCCAAUAUGCAUCAUUGAUACCAUUGCAACAAUGUUAUCAAUUCCAGAGUUUUCCACCAUAUUUGCGCUAUUGGUCUUAUUGGCAUAUUCCUCACUUGCUUUUCUAUGUCUACAAUCACGAAUGUAAUGGCCUUUCUUUCCACAAUGGUAACAUACACCAUUUGCAUUCUUUUGAUUGUUGUUGGAAUUGGUUUUCUUAAACUUCCCUUUGUCAAUUUUGACUUUGAAGUUCUUUUUAUAUUUGUUUCCUUCGACAAUGUGAACUUUAGAGAAAUCUUGAUUUGCAAAAUUCUUAUCACGAUUUCGAGUUUCCUCUUCAAUUUGAAUACCCUUUUGCAAAUUCUCCAAACUAAUAUCUUCCACCAUGUGUAGAAGUUUCUUUCUAUAGUUAUUCCAUGUUUGGGGUAAUUUUGCCAUAAUAGCUCCAACUAUCAUAGGAUCCGGAAUAACUAUUUUAAGUUCACGAAGCUUUGAGACCAAGACCAAUAAUUCAUGAACUUGGUCUAGGAUGGGUUUGUUAUCAAACAUAGUGAAUUCAUAAUAUUUGAACAUUAAAAAUUUAUCGGUACCUCUUUUUUCCGUUGUGUACUUGUGUUCAAGUGCUUCCCAAAUUUCCUUUGGAGAUUGAAUGUGUGCAUACAGGUCAUAUAAACGAUCAGAUAAUGUGCCCAAGAUGUGUCCUCGACAUACCAAUUCAUCUUCUUCACGCUUCUUUCGAUCGGCAACUAUGUUGUCCGAGUCUUUGUCACUUGGUUCACGAAUAGGCUCCAAUUUCGGGUCCAACACAUAUAUGACAUUUAGAACAGUAAGCAUGAAACGCAUCUUGUCCUUCCAUCGGGUGAAAUUUGAUCCAUCAAAUUUGUCUAACUUGUAGACAUCUUGAUUGAUAAUCUUCAUAGCCAUGUUAUCAGAUUUGUUAUCCAUGAUGAAAAUAACACUUUAAGAUUGUUAGAGUAAAUGUAGAAUUAUGGAGAAUAAUCCGAAUAAUGACUUUGAGGUACGACUUGAAUCGUUUCCUUAAAGUGUUAUUUGCCCCCACUCGAAUGAGUUUGCUAAAGGGUUCUUGGCAAAUCACUUCCAGGAUACAACAAAGUAUGGAAUAUUCAAUUAGCAAAACCGAAUUAUAUUCCCUUAGAAAUAACUAAAAAGAAAUUGUAUGAAUGUGAUGUUGAGAGAAAAGAGAACAAAGAAAUUAUGUAGAUAACUAAUUUCUGAAUAAUUGUGUAUGAAACAUUAUACCACAACAUGUAUUUAUAGACAUCAAAGUACCCGUUCAUCGAGCCAUUUCAUUUUAGUUGAAGACACACAACUCUUCUUAAUAGUGUUGACCCAAAAGACAUGUGUUCUAUUUAGAAUUUUCAGAAAAUAAAUAUUGACUAAUUAUAUCCUUUUUGCGGAUGGCAGCAGCACUAGGUCAUAUAUAUUUAUAUAUUCAUAAAUAUUAUAUAUUAAUAUAUAUAUAUAUAUAUAUUAAUAAUAAUAAUUAUUAUUAUUAUUGAAAUCUCUAACAUAUAACAAUUAAAUAAUAAAAUACUCAAACUAGUGACGCUUUAAAGCAACACCAACUUUGAUAAUAAUAAUUAGAUAACAAUUAAAUAAAUAAAAUACGCAAACUAGUGACGGUUUAAAGCGACACCACCAUUGAUAAUCUUAAUAAAAAAAAUCUGAAUCCCUUUCUGUAUUCGUUCUCAUAUAAUUAUAACUCAAAAAAAAUUAUAUAAUCGCAUUUUUUUGGCCAAAACAAACCAUAAUAAUUUUGACCAAAAAAAAAACAAUAAUAAAAAUAAUUCAAAAGAAAAAAAGUGCCAUAAUAAAAAAAUCUGAAUCCCUUUCUGCUUGUUCUUUAGGUCUGCUAUCCGUUUAUUAUUAUUUUUGUCCCUCAUUUUCAACUCAUUGUUUUGAGUCAACAGCACUGCCAUUGCACUCUUAGAUGACCUCUUGGAGGAAUUUGAUGUAGAAGAUGAAGAAGAUGCAUAGGACACCAUAUCAGGAGUCACCCAUGAUCAUAUCCUUUGACUUUAUUAUGAUUCUCAGGACCCAUUGUAUCAACAUACACUCAGGUCCUAAGCUCUUCUUAUCCUCUUGGCCAGUCUCAAUCAAAGUUUGUAGACUGCUCUCCAUUGUUGCCUUGCAUUACAAUUUAAAAAAAAAAUAUUCAAACAAUCGUAAAUCAGAAAAAUAAGCUAUAAAAAUUAAUAACAAUGAUAUACUAACACGAUAAAAAUAUUCAAACAAUCGUAAAUCAGAAAAAUCAAGUUAAUCAAUUACUAUUACAAUCAUUGACUUAUAUUUUUAUUUUUAAGUCACAAUAAAAAUAUCUAUACCUUUAUUCUAUUCCAAAAAACUUCCUUAACUUCUUCAUCAAUCUUACGCCAAUCCCUCUUCAACGGGAGAUUUAUGUGGUCUCUAUCCUCUGUUGCAACAUACUUUGAAUAUGCACUAGAAUUAUUGACACACCCCGAUCCUAGAAUCAAGGCGUGCCUCACACCUUGAUUCUAGGAUCGGGGAGUGUCAAUUAUCACUAAUGCAUUUUCCGGACACAUCAAACGAACAAAGUUGCUUUGUCUAUUUAGGAAUUGAGGAUCCGCGCCUCCGUUGAGAUAUUCCUUAUUAACACAAAAAAAAAAAAGGCAAUUAGAAACCAAGAAACAAAUGUAAAUUUUCAGUUAAUGCACAAUACUAGUUUAAACACAAAACAAAAACGGAAAUUAAAAAUAACUCAAAAUAGAACCACCUUCGAACCUUUCAAAUGAAGUUCCUAAGAACGUUGAUCUUCACUAGAAUUAUCCAUAGCAAAAUUAGUGGAAGGAGGAAGAGAAUGGCUGAAAUGGGCGAGAGAGAAAUGAAAGAGAAUUGGAAGCACAGUCGUGUUGGGAAAGAAGGGCAUUUAAAUAUGGAAAAAAACUUAACGUCGGUUUAAAACCGACAGUAUCCAUAACUGCGUUGAAAUUUGAACGCAUAACGUCGGAAUAAUAAAAUUUGGCGUCGGUUUAAAUCGACAGUAAGACUGACACAACCUAAAAAGACGAGGCAUGACGUACAUUUGACUGAAAUCCUGACUCACUCUGACUGAAAGGGUUGGCAUCGAAAUAGGACAAGUUUGCGUCAGAUUAAACAGACGUUAGUCUGACAUAGUUGACUGUCAUAGCAGGUGGCCUCAAAAUGGGAAAUGGGACAAGUUUGCGUCGGUUUAAGGGAAAGGUUGCGUCGGUUUUAACCGACGCAAAAUCUUACAUUGACAGAACUAGCGUCGAAAUAAGAAAAGGUUGCGUCGAAGUAAGUAAAUGUUGCGUCGGAAUAAGUAGAGGUUGCGUCGGUUAAAACCGACGCAAGGUCUAACAAACGUCGGAAAAUUCAUUUCAAACAUUUCAAACAUUCAUUCCCGCCUAAAACAUUUCAAACAUAUUUCAAACAUUUCAUUUCCGCCUAAAACAUUUCAAACAUUCAUUCCCGUCUAAAAUAUUUCAAGUUAUCUCAUAUAAUAUUUUAAUAAAUAAUAUUUAAUACAUAAUUAAAAAACAAUAAUAUAAUUAUAUGAUAAAGCAAUAAAUAAUAUUUAAUAUCAUGAUAUUAUUGAAUAAAUAAUAUCUUGGAAUUAUCUUGUGGAUCCCUGAUUGGAUUUGAUUAUAAUUUCUUGCUUGAUUAAGUAUUGUAGUGAAAUCUCAUAUUUGCACUCGAAUAUAUCAAUGUUACACAGGUGCAAUUAAGAUAUUUGCCCAAGUUUCAUAUAACCUGAUAGGUACAUGCUUUAAUUAGCUUUGGCAAAAUUCUACGAAAAUUUACGAAACCACUAUUUUCAAAGAAUUUUUUUCCACACAAGAAGCUUUUUAAAUUUCUUGCUAGACAAUGUAAAGAAGUCUGGAAACGAUAGUAAGGCCACUUCCAAAAGGCAUUACAUUUUCCUUAUUACUGGCCUUACGAGUUGCAUUUUUCAUAAAAAUUAUUACUCAUGCUUUUUAAUCGGGUUUUUAUAAACCAACAACAAUUCAUUAUAAAGACUAAGCCGAUCCGUUUACACAGGUCUAUGGUAAACUCCAUACAGUCGCCACACAGACAACGUUCCGUACGUUAUCUUGAAUAAUAGCCAUCGUCCUUUAGGUUAGGUGGAGACAAUCGCUCUGAUAAUGUCUCAUCCGCCAAAACACAGAAAUUAACCGCAUGCAGUUUGGUUACUUUGGUAUUGCCAGCCAUUUGGUUCUUGUUCAUUUGUUCCUCCAUGUGAUGAACGUGAAAAGUUGAAAACACGGCAUAUAUAUGUACAACUAGAACAAGACAUGCAGUGUUACUUUCAACAGGUGGCACGUGCUUUGGUACCUCACACUAUCCUCAUUGAAUCCAUAUCCAUCCAUAUUCAAUCAACUCUUGUGCAUUAAGGAUCUUUACGCUUCUUCAAAAAAAUUUCUCUCAAUUUCAUGAAAAUUGCAGAGAGAUGGGCGUAGCUGCAUGAGUACAAGUAGAAAUAUUAUUGUUUAUAUAAAACAAUUCAUAUAAAUUCGAUUUUUUUUUUUUUUUUUGCGAUCAUUUGGUUAAAUUUCGUUUUGCAUGUAGUAGGGUAGAAUAUAAUUCUCUCCCCUCAUAAUCUCUCUUCUUUUUCCUCCUCUUCUAUUUGAAUGGUUACGAUGUCAACAUCUUUUGUUGACUCCUUUAUAGAGAGAAAGUGUGAGAAUGAGAGUAGAUUAGGAGUUAGGAGGGAGAGAAUACUAGUACAGGGUAAAUAACUCAUUUUAAACAUAGAUUUGACUCCAUUUGGUAAUAUACCAAAAUCAUUUUAAACAUGCAAGAUUUGACUCAAUAGGUUAAAGGGAGUAAGAUUCUCUCCCCUCAUAAUCUCUCUCCUCUUUCCUCAUCUUCUAUUUGAAUGGUUACGAUUGAGUUAUGUCAACAUCUUUAGUUGAUUUCUUUAUAAAGAGAGAAAGACAAAGAAGAAAGUGUGAGAGAAUGAGAGUGGAUUAGGAGUUAGGAGGAAGAGAAUGCUAAUACAGGAUAAAGAACUCAUUUUAAACGUACAUUUGACUCCAUUUGGUAAUAUAUCAAAGUCAUUUUAAACAUGCAAGAUUUGACUCCAUUUGGUAAUAUACAUAUUAAACAUAGAUUUUACUCCAUUUGGUAUUAUUAAGCAUUGAAUCUUUGAAAGAGAAACUUUUGUAUUGAUUUCAGACUAAGUAAUUACAAUGAAGCAAACACACAUUAUAUAGCUUGCAGUAGCUUGCAAUGUAAGCAAAACCGGUUACAACAACCCUAACUAACAUAACUGUCAAUAGCCUAACUAACUGCUAGCUAAGCUGAGCUGCAGUGCAGUGCCUGCCAGCUGUCAUUACUGUCAACAAAUAUCUCAUUCGCCAAAACACCAGAAAUUAACCUGCAUGCAGUUUGGCUACUUUUUUGGUAUUGCCGGCCAUUUGGUUCUUGUCCAUUUUCCCCCCAAUGUGAAUCACGCGAAAAGUUGAAAACACAGCAUGUACAACUAGAACAAGACAUGCAGUGUUACUUUCAAAAGAUGGCACACUAUGCUACCUCACACUUAUCCUCAUGUUGUCCAUAUUCAAUCAACUCUUGUGCAUAAAAGGGAUGGAAAGGAAGGAAGAAAUUCUCCAGGAUGUGGUCUUUGGGUUGUGGAGAAUCUGGAAGUGCAUGGAAUCCAAGGGAAGCAAUUGAGGUUGUUGUGCUAGGAUAGCACCAAACCCGUUGGAACCAACUCAAGCUAACCCACAGGAAAUUUAUCAAAUGAAAAUGCAAGAACAAAAUAUGAAAGAACACCAAGAUUUUAACGAGGUUCCUCAACAGUCAGUGUAACUGGAGUACGUCCUCGGAGCAGUAGGAGCUCACCCAAUAAUCCACUAUCAACCAAAUGGGAGUUUACAAAAUGUUGGCAAUCUCACAACCCAAAAGCCCAAUACACCCAAUAGCUCUCACACACCAAAGAAACAAAUAGGAAGAAAUAUAAUGAAUAAUUUCUUCUCUAUACAUAUAGCUCAAAGCUAUUACAACAACACCUAUUUUGGUGGAUGAUUACUAACCAAAUGAAGCAGCAGCUUCUUCUUCCUUUUGGGCUCUCUGCAGAAAAAAAACCUCUAACUUCUCUCUGCAGCUCUCUCCUCUCUUCAGCUCUCUCUUUUCUUCUCUUAACCACACAAGCAGCAAUUGCUGCUAAAUAAAUUCUUCAAGUCACCCCGUGACUUCCCACAUGGCCAAAGAAAAAAUAAUUCUCAAACAUCAUCAUUUGUCAUCAUCACAAAGUAAGAAAGAACAUCAUGAUGUCUCCCCUUUUUUUUCUUUUUAUUUGUUUAAUACAAAAGGUGAUGGCCACUUGGCCAAAAUUCAACAAUCUCCACCUUGGCCAAGUUCCGAAAACGCCAUGAUAAGCCAACCAACACAAUUGACCCAAAAAAUCACUCCCAAAUACUAGCAAGAGAACAACUCAUGCCGAGCCAAAUGCUCCAAAACUCCUACUGCUCAACGCCUUCUUUAUAUAGGCAAAAUGUGAGCCAAGUUCAAGCAAUGAACAAACUUGGCUACACCAACAACCUUAGUCAACAUAUCAGCGGGGUUGUCUUUAGUUGGAAUCUUCUGGAGAAUGAUUUCCCCUUCACCAACAAUUUCACGAACAAAGUGAUAACGCACAUCUAUGUGCUUGGUCCUCGCAUGAUGAACCUGAUACUUAGCCAAAUAAAUGGCACUCUGACUAUCACAAUGUACCUCCACCUGCUUCUGAUCAACCCCCAAAUCUCUAAUCAGCCCAUGUAUCCAAAUGGCCUCCUUUAUAGCUUCAGCAACUGCCAUAUAUUCAGCCUCUGUAGUAGACAAGGCAACAGACGACUGCAAAAUAGACCUCCAACAAACUGGUCCUUUAGCCAUAGUAAACACAUAGCCUGUAGUAGACUUCCUUCCAUCCAGAUCACCUGCAUAAUCUGAAUCAACAUAACCAACUGCAAAAUGACCAAUACCAGAGUCAUCUCUCUCAAAGCAUAAACCAACAUCUCGAGUACCAUGGAGAUAUCUCAAUAUCCACUUAGCUGCUUGCCAGUGCUCUUUACCUGGAUUAUGCAUAUAUCGACUCACCAUGCCAACUGCAUGAGCAAUAUCCGGUCUAGAGCAUACCAUUGCAUACAUCAAACUACCAACCAAAUUUGCAUAUGGUAUAUUUUUCAUUUGCAGCUUCUCUUUAUCAUUUUUAGGACAUUGUAGAGAACUCAAUUUAAAAUGAGGAGCCAAAGGGGGUACUAACCGGUUUGGUUGAAUCAUGAACUCCAAACUUCCGAAUCAACUUCUCAAGGUAUUGUCUUUGAUUCAAACUGACCAAACCCUUCUCUCUAUCUCUAGUGAUCUCCAUGCCAAGGAUCUUCUUCGCUUCACCAAGAUCCUUCAUCUCAAACUCAUUCUUCAUUUGCUUCUUCAAUUUUUCAAUCUCUUCAACAUUUUUUGAGGCAAUCAACAUAUCAUCAACAUAUAUCAAUAAAUAAAUGAAAGACCCAUCUUGCAACUUCUUGAAGUACACACAAUGAUCAUAUUGACUUCUAGAAUAAUUUUGGCCUCUCAUAAAUUUAUCAAACCUCAAAUACCAUUGCCUUGGAGAUUGCUUCAAGCCAUAAAGUGAUUUCUUCAAUUUGCAAAACAAAUUUUCCUUCCCUUUCACUAUAUACCCAUCCGGUUGACACAUAUAAAUCUCUUCAUUCAAAUCACCAUGUAGGAAAGCCGUCUUCACAUCAAGUUGCACAAGCUCAAGAUCAUAUUGUGCAACAAGAGCUAACAUAAUACGAAUUGAGGAGUGCUUCACAACUGGAGAAAAUAUUUCAUUGUAGUCAAUGCCCUCCUUUUGUGCAUACCCUUUAGCAACUAAUCUUGCUUUAAAUCUCACAUUGCUUUUCUCAUCAGCAUCUUCCUUCUUGGCAUACACCCAUUUGCAACCGAUAGCUUUCUUGCCCUUAGGCAAUUUAGCUAACUCCCACGUCUUGUUCUUCAAGAGAGAAUUCAUCUCAUCACCCAUGGCAUUGCACCACCUCUUCUUCUCCUCACUCUCAAUGGCUUCCUCGAAAUUAGAUGGAAUAUCAUCAGUGAUAAUAGGAAGAGCAAAAGAAACAUAGUCACUAUACCUAGCUGGCUUGGUAAUUUGUCUCUUUCCUCUGUUUUUGGCAAUAGACUCUUGAGGUGAAACUUGCUCUUCAACUUGAAUAGAAUCUUCAAGUUCAACUUCUUCAACAUCCUCAUGGUCUCCCACUUCUUCACUUGUAGUGGCUUCGACAUCAGCGGAAAUAGAAUUUGAAGUACCAGAGGCAACUUUCUCAAGCUCCACCUGUUGGACAUCUUUCACAUUCUUCUCAGAGACUUUGUACAUACUUUCUUCGUCAAAUGUCACAUCUCUACUAAUUACCAGUUUCUUCAUCUCUGGACACCACAACCUGUAACCUUUGACACCACUACUAAAACCAAGAAAGAUAGCCUUUUUGGCUCUAGGAUCAAGUUUAUUUUCAGUCACAUGAAAAUAAGCAGGUGAACCAAAAAUAUGGAUAUAAUCAUAAUCAGAAGAAGGUUUUCCAGUCCAUACCUCCAUUGGUGUCUUACCCUGAACAGCAGCUGAGGGUAACCGGUUGAUGAUGUGACAUGCAUAAUUAACUGCCUCUGCCCAAAAUGACUUGCUUAAACCCGAUUGAGACAACAUACAUCUAACCUUCUCAAGCAAGGUUCGAUUCAAUCUUUCUGCAACUCCAUUUUUGUUGUGGAGUUCCCCGAACACUGAAAUGUCUCACAAUUCCUUCCUCUUUGCAAACUUUAAAGAAAGGAUCGGAUGUGUAUUCACCACCAUUAUCCGAUCUCAAAAUCUUAAUCUUUCUCCCAGUCUGGUUCUCAACCAUUUUCUUCCAACUCAAGAAAAUGUUCAACACCUCACUCUUGUGCUUCAUAGUGUAGACCCAAGACCUUCUUGAAUAAUCAUCAACAAAGGUCACGAACCAAUGUCUACCACUCAAAGAGGGAGUCUUUGUAGGACCCCAAACAUCCGAAUGCACAUAAUCAAGAAUGCCCUUCGUCUGAUGUACGGCAGUACCAAACUUCACUCUAGUUUGCUUCCCCAAGACACAAUGCUCGCAGAAAUCAAGCUUACAAGUCGUGGCACCUUUUAGAAGACCUUUUUUCACAAGCCCUUGUAGAGCUUUCUCACCGGCAUGGCCUAAUCUCAUAUGCCACAGUCUAGUAGUAUCUGAAUCAGAUGUGCCCAUAUUUUCAGAAACUACAUAUGCUUCACCUGUCACAGUGCUUCCCUGCAAUAAAUACAAAUGGCCACAUCUAGGAGCUUUCAUCACAACAAGUGCACCAUAAGUAACUUUCAAUGUCUGUCCAUCUGAAUGAAACCUGAAACCCUUGGAUUCCAGAGUACCCAAAGAAAUAAGAUUUUUCUUCAAAUUCGGUACAUACCGAACACCUGUCAACUCUUUAACCAUGCCAUCAUGCAACUUCAAACGAACUGUACCAAUCCCUUUUGUUGUGCAAGGAUUGUCAUCUCCCAUGAACACAACGCCACCAUCAAACUCUUUCAAGCUUGAAAACCAAUCCUUGUGAGGAGUCAUAUGAUGAGUACAACCCGUAUCCAACACCCACUUAGUAGCACAAUCAAAUGAUGAGGAAGUGGUUAAAGCAAAAUCAAAAACAUCGGUUUCAACCUCAGCAACAUUGGCUUCAGAACUUUCUUUUCCUUUGGUCUUCAACUUAGGACAAUCUUUUCCAAUGACCCUUAUUAUGACAAAAGGCACAUUCAUCCCUUUCCAAAGGUUUUCUACCUUUAGAGUUUCCUCUAGGUCGAGACUGUGAUUUUUUCCUGCUAGAAGAUGACUUCCUCUCCGAUGAUCUACCUCUAACAAAUAAAGCUUCAGAGGUAUUAUCAUGAUUUUUAUCUCUAUGCCUCAUUUCAUAAUUCAUCAAGGCAUUUGACACAUCUUCAAAUUUCACAGUUUCUUUACCAUGCAUAAUAGUGGUAACAAAAUGCUCGUAAGAGUCCGGCAAGGAAUUCAACAAUAUUAAGGCCUUAUCUUCAUCUUUAAUAUCCUCAUCUAAAUUUAACAAGUCGGCAAUCAACUUAUUAAAAGCAUCAAGGUGUCUAAUCAUUUUUGUACCUUCUUUGUAUUGGAAGCGGUAGAGUUUUUUCUUCAAGUGUAGCCGGUUCUCUGCACUCUUCGUCAUAUACUUGUCUUCCAAUUUUUGCCACAACACACUUGCUACCGUCUCCCGCAUCACAAAAUACUUCUGAGUUUUUGCAAGGCACAACCGAAUUGAAGAGCAAGCCCACAAAUUUAAUUUCUCCCAUUCCGGCUUCGACAUAGCUUCCGGCUUCUCUCCCAAAGCGGCAAGUAGAUCUUGUUGAGCCAACACAUCUUUGACCUCACAUUGCCACAUCCCGAAGUUGUUUGUGCCAUCAAACUUUUCCACUUCGAACUUUGCAUUUUGCACCGUAGUUCUUGCAAACCCGGAGCUGCUUCCAAAAGGAUUUUCAUCUUGCCCGUCUGACAUCUUUGGCAACUAGACAGUACCCAAGAGCAACUAGUGCUCUGAUACCAAUUGUUGUGCUAGGAUAGCACCAAACCCGUUGGAACCAACUCAAGCUAACCCACAGGAAAUUUAUCAAAUGAAAAUGCAAGAACAAAAUAUGAAAGAACACCAAGAUUUUAACGAGGUUCCUCAACAGUCAGUGUAACUGGAGUACGUCCUCGGAGCAGUAGGAGCUCACCCAAUAAUCCACUAUCAACCAAAUGGGAGUUUACAAAAUGUUGGCAAUCUCACACCCAAAAGCCCAAUACACCCAAUAGCUCUCACACACCAAAGAAACAAAUAGAGGAAGAAAUAUAAUGAAUAAUUUCUUCUCUAUACAUAUAGCUCAAAGCUAUUACAACAACACCUAUUUUGGUGGAUGAUUACUAACCAAAUGAAGCAGCAGCUUCUUCUUCCUUUUGGGCUCUCUGCAGAAAAAAAACCUCUAACUUCUCUCUGCAGCUCUCUCCUCUCUUCAGCUCUCUCUUUUCUUCUCUUAACCACACAAGCAGCAAUUGCUGCUAAAUAAAUUCUUCAAGUCACCCCGUGACUUCCCACAUGGCCAAAGAAAAAAUAAUUCUCAAACAUCAUCAUUUGUCAUCAUCACAAAGUAAGAAAGAACAUCAUGAUGUCUCCCCUUUUUUUUCUUUUUAUUUGUUUAAUACAAAAGGUGAUGGCCACUUGGCCAAAAUUCAACAGAGGUAUGGAGGAAACAAGUGGGGGAGCAUCGAGUAAUGGAGGAGGAGGUAGCAUCGGGUAAUGGAGGAGGAGGUGGGGCUUUCCUUGGUUAAGUAAAAAAAGAGUGGGGCACGGGAGGUAGGUAGAGCAAAUGAUGGGUGGAGGAAACCAAACUUUUGGACAUUGAAAGUAAACUGUGACGGAUCAUGGAACUCGAAGACGGGGCUGGGGAGUAAUGGGUGGGUAAUCCGAGAUUUUGUAGGGUGUUUGCAAAGAGCAGGAGGGACGGGGAAAACGCCCUUUAAUUCGGCAAUCGUGGAGGAAGCGGAGGCUAUUCGUGUUGCGCUUGUGUUUUGCAAAAACGAAGGUUUUACGAAGGUGGAGAUUGAAUCGGAUGCCCAGGUGCUACUGUGCAUGAUCAACAAGGAGGUUGAAGUGGAUGCUGAUUUGGAAUGUCUUUUGUUUGAUAUUGACUCUUUGGUGAAGCAUAUUGAAGAUGUUAAAAUUGGGUUUGUGCCACGGAGUGGCAACUUGGCUGCUCACGCGGUUGCUUUGUUUUCUGCCAAACAUGGGGUCCCUUUGUUUGGGACGAGAUAGGCCCUGAGUUUUUAUUUAACAUUCUUGCUAUAGAUGUAAACAUUUCAGUUAGAUUAUAAUUAAAUUAUAUCCUUUGCCAAAAAAAAAAAUCAACUUUUGUUCAUUCUUCUUCAAAAUUCUCUCUUAAUUUCAUGAAAAUUGCAGAGGUAGGCGUAGCUAUAUGAGUACAAGUCGAAAUAUUAUUGCUGAUAUAAAAGAAUUCAUAUAAUUUUGAAUUUUUUUUUUUUUUGGUGAUCAUUCGAUUAAAUUUUGUUUUGCAUAUAGUAGGGUAAAGGGAGUAGAAUUUUAUCCCCUCUUUAUCUCUCUCCCUUUCCCUCCUCUCCAAUUUGAACGGUUUACAAUUAAACCAUGUCAACAUCUUUUAUUGACUUCUUUAUAGAUAGAGAAAGACAAAGGAAAAAGUGUGAGAGAAGGGGAGAAAAGAAGAGAGAAUUAGGAGUUGAGAGAAUCCUAAUGAUGGUAAAAGAACUCAUUUUUCACAUGCUAGCAUUUGGUAAUAUAUCAAUCAGCUGUUGGAUCUUGAAUCCAGAAAUCAUAUCAAAUGAGUCCUCCAGAAAUAGCCAACAUCAUCCUUGUAUUCCUUACAUUCCUAUGGUCUCUCCUCCACCUAAGCAAUGCCUCCUCAAGGCAAAGCCGAAAACUGCCUCCUGGCCCUACGACACUGCCAAUCAUUGGAAAUCUUCAUCUGCUAGGCGACCUCCCACACCGUAGCCUCCAAAACUUGGCAAAAAAAUAUGGACCUAUAAUGUCCAUGCGUCUAGGGUUCAUACCAACCAUAGUGGUCUCAUCGCCCAAAACAGCAAAGCUAUUUCUCAAAACCCACGACACCAUUUUCGCUAGCCACCCCAAACUCUAAGCCUCCAAGUACAUGUCCUAUGGCGCGAAGGCCAUGGCCUUUACUGAAUAUGGCCCAUAUUGGUGCCAUAUUCGGAAACUCUGCACGCUUCAACUUUUUGUCCCUCGAAAAUCGAGGGUUUUGCUCCUCUAAGAAGGGAGGUGGUAGGGUUGUUGGUGCAGUCCCUGAAGGUAGCUACGGAGGUGCGCGAGGUGGUGGAUGUUAGUGAGAAGGUCGGUGAGCUUGUUGAGGGAAUCAUGUAUAGGAUGGUGUUGGGGAGAAAAAAUGAUGAUAUGUUUGAUCUCAAGGGAUUAUUGAGGAAGCCGUAUUCUUAACAGGAGCUUUCAACAUUAGUGAUUAUGUGACUUUCCUUAGUCCACUUGAUCUCCAGGUAUGUUACCCUUCAUUCUUAACUACCAAACUUGUUAGAUGAAUCAAUAAUAAAACUAGGGAAAUGCUAGGAACACCGUAAAGUAGGGACAUUUAUAAUCAUUGCACGCACGCUACUAAUUCUGAAUUGCUAAGCACAAAUACAAAGUAAAGGCGUUGCAAAUAAGUGCACAUAUAUGUGACUGAUCUUAACACUACUAAAGUAUUUGGACUCUAUUAUUUAGAUGACGUAUUUCGAUGGAUCCAUUAACUGGAAUAGAAGUAGUGUCAACAAAUAAAGUGAACGAGAUUAAUUCAUAAUUUAGGGUAACCGAGUUUGUUUGGAUGUACUUUUAAAAUGACUGAAAGUGUUUUUAGUGAAAAUAUUUUUAGAAACAAUCCUUAAUAAAAAUGCUAGCAAAUCUUGGAAAAUCACUUAAAGUGCUUUAUGGAAGAAGCACAUAUUACUAGUGUUUCUUAUAGAAAGCACUUCAAAUGCUUUUGGAAUCCAAAAAUAUUUUUUUCUAGAAACGCUUUCAGUCAUUUUAAAAGCACAUUCAAACUUAGCCAAUAACUAGUUCACAUUUGUACAAAUUAAUCUGAGAGGAAUAGCUGUUUCCGUUAGCCAGCUCACUUAUCGUCUUUUUGCUGGUGAUAUGAUUCACAAAGUCACAGCAUCCACAAAUUAUAAAUGCAAAAUCAUAAGAUUCAUAUCGUAUGGUCCAUUCCAUAGCCUGCCGACGAUAAACUAUCUCCUAAUUCGAGAUGUAAAAACAUAUUUACAUCUUAUUUUAUAGUUUCAAGAGGUGUAGACAGGAGUUCUAUGCUAAUGAGAGCGAUGUAAAUUUGAGUUUUUAUUUAAUUUUCUCUCUUAUAUAGAGUAGCAGAGUUCACCAUAAAAAAUAUAUAUAUACAUCCAUAUAUAUAUAUGUAUAUAUAUUUAAGUUCUUAUUUAUAUUUUCCAGUCAAUAUUUUACAUCUUUCUGAACAACUUAAAGUUUCAAAGACAAAUUGCUCCCUAUCUUAUGCAUUUGGUUGCAAUUGCCAUCCGGGAUAUUAUUACAAUAGCAAUGGAUUUAAUGCACAAUUCAUUAUUUUAGGAACCUUAAUUUCUGCAAUCAACUAUACAAAUUUAAAAUAUAUCCAACAGGCUCUUUAAGGGGAGAUCUCCAUUUAAAAAUAAAUAAAUAAAUAGUUGUAGGGCUCACUCCACAUCAAACUUCAAUAAUAAGAAAUGUCUAUAUUUUGUCUCUAUUUAUAGGUCAUUCUUGCAAAAAAUCAAUUCAAUCCGAAAUGAUUUAGUCACUUGAUUGUCACGAUGAAAUUUUAAUGUUUCUUAUAACAUAAUGUUCAUCAAUGUCUUGGAGCUCAAUUAGAUUAAUUGAUGCCUCAUACAUUUUUUAUUUGCCAAAUUUUGCAAUGAUGAUUUAAUUGGUACAACUUGAAAAUAGACAAUUCGGAUAUCAUUGAAGUUCAAUGUAGUAUAGACUCCACAACUAAUCUAAAAAAAUGAGAAUCCCUUCCCUUAAAACCAUACGUUACAUGUAUGUGUUUUUUUUUUUUUCUUCUUAUCCUUCAUAAAGGAUGUAAUACUAAUAAUAAGGAUUUUAUUUUACCAUUGAAAAUGAGGAUUUUACAAGAAUUCAAAAGAUAAAAUGCUAGUAAAUAUGUAGAUAUAGAUUUUGAGGCCUUACGUAGUGGGUAAAAUUGAGUUGAAGUCCAGUUUUAUAAGAAUCAAACUCCUAGGACGGAAAAUCUGCAUUUUACAUGAGUGACUCCGAUUAUUGAAUUUAAUAAUUACUAAUGACUUUAAUUUCAAUAAAUGAUCAACCACUUGACAGAGAAAAUAGAGAUUAAUACAUAAAACGAGGAAAAAAAAGUCCAAUAAUAUUAUAGGAAUCAAACUCAAUGUACAUGAUUAUAUAUAGGAAUGAAACCAAACAAAACUAACGUUUCUCUCUGUAAUUGUUACUUUCAUCUCAGAAAAAAAGGUUGCACAUGAUCCCUUAUACGGCCAUGUACCACAUGUUAGCAUGAACAUAUACCAAAACAUGUAAUUAUGAAUCACAGUGAUCAAAAUACAAAUCCUAUUCAUAAGCCUGUAGCACAGAGAAGAAACUUACCCGUAGUCGAACUUGAAGAAGCAGCCAUUCCAGGUUAUGCAACAAACAAACAGUGCACCUUCUCCUCUCUCCAGUAAUCAGUUUGCUCUAACUAAUAAUAGGUCUUAGUUCGAUGAUAGAGCGUGUCAACUGUGAGAGCAGAGGCCACUAUAUAUACACAACAUAAUCCUCGCCAAAUCUCAUAAGAAUUCCCCUAUUAGAAUCCUUAUAGACAACCAAAUUAGUGUUUCAGCAUAACGUGGAUUACAAAUCCAUUCUCAAUAAGACUUCUUAUCCAAACUUGAAACAAAUAACUUAAUCCACGAAUUCAUACUCAUGCUCAUAUUCUAACAAGAGUGUCACCGUAUGUGCCUAUCCUCACCCAAAAGAUACUCCAAAAAUACAAGAUGUAAUAGCUUUAUAUAUGCAUUCAUGUCUUGUCCAUUUCAUUGUCUUAUAAAAAUGACAGCCACAGUACUCAACUAGAAGUACAUAUGAUUGAUUGAUUGUAUGGAAUCUUAACUAUUUCUUCCACUUAGGGAUUGACCAAGCGCAUGAAGAGAGUUAGCAAGACUGUCGACCAACUACUCGAAAAGAUAAUUCAGAAUCAUGAACAAGUUUCCAGAAGUGAACAGGUACACGGCAAUCAUCAUAAGGACUUUGUAGACGUGCUGUUUUCAUUAAUCAACCAACCAUUAAACCCCAACGAUGAGGAAGUCUACAUGCUCGAACGAACAAAUGCCAAAGCCAUUUUACUCGACAUAAUUGCGGGUGCCUUUGACACCUCAGCCACGGCGAUUGUCUGGACCCUGGCCGAACUCUUGAGACUGUUGUGCGGAAGCGUCAAAUAUGAAACCAAUAAGCUACAACGGCAAAAUAUGACAAGACAAAUAAUCCAAAAGACACAAGGAUUUAUACUGGUUCGGCGUAAGCCUACAUCCAGUUCCGAGACGGCGAGGAAAUUCCACUAAUAUCAAAAGAAGAUUACAAAUAGAGUUUUAACUCUCAAACCCAAAUCCCACAUACAACCAAUAGCUCUCACUCUCACAAAGAACAAAUGGAGAAGAUGGAAACAUAUACCAAAUUCCUUCUCUCCCAAAAGCCACAAAAUGUAGCACAAAUAUCUUUGAUUGAGUGAUCACUAACAAAAGGGGAUUACAAACAAAUGGGGGGAGAGCUGCAGCUCUUAUUCAAAUGGGAGAGCCGAAUGCUCUCCCUGUGCUCUCUCAUCUGCCGCUCCCCUCACUUCCAAAGGCAUAAUCGAAUACCUUUUAUAACCAAAAUGAGCUCUCCAUUUCUUCUCUUCUACCCGAAACAAAAAACAAUAAUUAUGCUUAUUAAAAAACCACAAAAGAAGAAAGCAUAAUCAUGAUGCCUCCUCAUCAUGAUGUUUCCUCAUCAUUUUGGUUUCUUUUUCUUUUCUUUUGUUUGUUUAUUAGCCGAAAGGUGAUGGCCACUUGGCCACAAUUCAACAGAGACACCCGAAAGUAAUAAAACAUUUCCAAGAAGAGCUCCAGAGUGUGAUCGGGAUGGAUCGAAUGAUGAAAGAAAGUGAUUUGCCAAAGCUGGAUUACUUGAGCAUGCUGGUCAAGGAGAGCUUAAUGUAAGACUCAUGUUGAGUUGUCAAUUAUUAUGAAUAGAAUUACUUGAAAGACAAAUAACUUGAUCUUCAAGAUAUUUGGCUUUUAAUGUGAUUCAAUAUUGGUUGGCAAGAAUCAUGGAACCAAGAUAUAUUUAGUUGACUAAUUGAAACCCUAAUUAAGUAGGACAUAUUGUACAUGCCUUGGUGGGACAACAUUAAGAAUAAAUGGUGAUUUGGUGUAUUCCUCUAAUUACUAUAAUAGGCGGAAUUAGGGGAACCCUAAUCACUAUAUUAAGGGUGUCCCUGCUUUCACAAAAAACACGUUCCAUUCCGAGCAAACCCUAUUAUUGCUGGAACACUUCCGCUUGUUGAAAGUAGAAGAUUCCUUUGUCAUCCACAAGAGCCAUGUCUUCCAUAUUCCAAAGAUAAGUAAAUUGUAAUUGAUUUAUUGUAAUUAUUUUGGUUUAUCAAAUCUGUGAUCCUAAUCUCUUGUUGUUGUUCUUAUGAUUUCAGAAAUAUCUUACACUUAAGGCUACACCCAGUUGCCUCAUUACUAGUCCCUCGUGAAUUCAUGGAGGACAUUACAGUUGAUGGAUAUAACAUACCCAAUAAAUCAAGAGCCUUUAUCAAUAUUUGGACCAUUGGGAGGGAUCCAAGUGUAUGGUCAGAUAAUGUGGAAGAAUUCUACCCUGAAAGGUUAAUGAAUAAUAACGUUGACCUACUUGGACAUGACUUCCAGCUCAGGUCUGGUCGAAGAGGGUGCCCUGCUAUGUAAUUAGGGUUAACCACAGUUCGUCUUGUUCUGGGAAACUUGUUGCACUGCUUCAACUGGGAGCUCCCUAGUGGAAUGCUACCUAAAGACUUGGACAUGGCUGAGAAAUUCGGCUUAUCGUUGUCGAAAGCCAAACACUUGCUUGCCAUACCGAC